rnacentral:rRNA from 1 species
GAUGAACGCUGGCGGCGUGCUUAACACAUGCAAGUCGAACGGAAAGGCCCAAGCUUGCUUGGGUACUCGAGUGGCGAACGGGUGAGUAACACGUGGGUGAUCUGCCCUGCACUUCGGGAUAAGCCUGGGAAACUGGGUCUAAUACCGGAUAGGACGAUGGUUUGGAUGCCAUUGUGGAAAGUUUUUUCGGUGUGGGAUGAGCUCGCGGCCUAUCAGCUUGUUGGUGGGGUAAUGGCCUACCAAGGCGUCGACGGGUAGCCGGCCUGAGAGGGUGUACGGCCGGAGGGGGACAGAGAUGCAGACAGGACGCAAGAGGGGGGGAGGGGGGGGGGAUAUGGGAAAAGGGGGGAGGGCGUGAGGACGCGACGCGGGGGGGGGGAUGGGGGCUUGGGGGUGGUAAACGCCUAUCGCAGGGGACAAAGCGUUUUUGGGCCGGUGCGGGGAGAGGAAGAACCGGAUAAUUAGGGG